rnacentral:rRNA from 1 species
AGUGAACGCUGGCGGUAGGCCUAACACAUGCAAGUCGAACGGCAGCACAGUAAGAGCUUGCUCUUACGGGUGGCGAGUGGCGGACGGGUGAGGAAUACAUCGGAAUCUACUUUUUCGUGGGGGAUAACGUGGGGAAACUUACGCUAAUACCGCAUACGACCUACGGGUGAAAGCAGGGGAUCUUCGGACCUUGCGCGAUUGAAUGAGCCGAUGUCGGAUUAGCUAGUUGGCGGGGUAAAGGCCCACCAAGGCGACGAUCCGUAGCUGGUCUGAGAGGAUGAUCAGCCACACUGAAACUGAGACACGGUCCAGACUCCUACGGGAGGCAGCAGUGGGGAAUAUUGGACAAUGGGCGCAAGCCUGAUCCAGCCAUACCGCGUGGGUGAAGAAGGCCUUCGGGUUGUAAAGCCCUUUUGUUGGGAAAGAAAAGCAGCAGGUUAAUACCCCGCUGUUCUGACGGUACCCAAAGAAUAAGCACCGGCUAACUUCGUG